UAUAUUAAAUAAAUACUAAUAAAGAUAUAUUUUCCAAACAGAAAGUUACAGGAAUGGACACAUGAUCCCAUGUUUACAUCUCAUUGUGCAACAUGUGAAUGUUUUAGUGGGACAUGGGACCUAAAUGCGAUAUCUGAAAGGGGUACACAUUAUUUCCAAAGCAGGACCCCCACCUAGUACACAGCUCAUGAAAAACAAUAUUUUGUGUUAUUGUCUUUGUAAGUGGGCCUAAACAUUUAUAUUAAAAAAUAAUCUCAUGGAAAUGACUGCUGUCGUAUGAUUAUAAUAAUAAAACAUUUAACUUGUUAUUUAGUCAGGUUUGGGACUGGUGUGCUGCUGGUGUGACCACAGUGCAUGUGCACGUCUGACGUCGCUCACAUGUCCUCCACUGAAUGCUCAAGGAGUUUUUGCGUUUGCUCAAGCAUAUGGAAAAUUAGAGGAAACAUUGUUUGGGGGUAUCCAUGAUACGCCGAUAGAGAGGUUUAUAUUUACACGAUGAGUCGGGUGUGUCUUGACCUCCACGGCGGAGGCUCCAUCGAACCCCUGAGGCCGACUCACCGAACCCCUAGGGUUCGAUCGAACCCAGGUUAAGAACCAGUGCUCUAUCCUCUCCAAAAGUAUCAGAAUGCACACAUUUUUUUGGAAAAUUUGGACUUUUAAACCUAUAUCUUCAAAACGAUCAUCACUGCAAUCUUUUUUCAGACAGGGUCAAAAAUAAACUCCAUAUACAGUAUAGAGAUUCAUGAGUCACAACAUUAGGUACACCAAUCCACUUUCGGAUCAACAGAGCUGUAGAAAAAAAGCUGCUUUUAGUAACAUGUAUAUCACUGCAUGUUACAUGUCAGCGUUACUGUGUGUAUGCAACGAUCAGAUCAGUUCUUCUCAGAUAGUGGGGAACAUGCUUUUUUUGUUGUACCAGAAUAUAAUGAAGCCUAUGUUGCACUUGGCUUCACUGUAACCACGUUGGGAGACGAGGAAAGACCGGUGUGUUGUUUCAUUUAAUGUUAAUAAGCUCACAUUGUUGUGCAGAGGUACAGUUCUAACAAUUUUAACGACAAAUUAUACUAUUUAUAGUCACGGUGAAAAGUGGGAGGGCCGCAAAAUAUUUUCUUCUUUCAAGGGGCGGCGUAACAAAAUAUUUGAGAAGCACUGGAUUAGUUGAGUUAAGUUAAGUACACGUUAAGUUAAGUUAACUUGAAAAUAAUAAUGUAUCCUACUUUUUCUUGUGGUCCCUGAAGGGAGGAUAACUUUUUCUUCCACGCGUGUUCGUAUAAUCUCUAAAAGGUCACCAAGUCGUUGUCAAUUUUCAUAUUCACCACCUUAAAUUUAUUUUAAUGUGUGAUUGUUUGAAGCAAAUAAAUACAGUUCCCUCAUGGCCACAAGGUGGGAAAGGGAGACAUCCUGCCACCCCUGGCAUCUUGCAAAAUGUCUGUCUUCUGCUUCUGCACAAAGUCUGAUAAACUGUUCCAAAGGGGGAUUGGGUUGUCCAUGUCCAUCUGACUUCGAUUUUCAUGUUAACUGCUCCUUUGCUGGCUUGUCUUGAUGAUUAUUGCCGCUCGCAAAUACCUCACAGCCUCAUGUCAGGGCUCUAUUGUGUACCCUCUUUAUAUGUGAAGUGGGAUUUCUGCCAAUCUUUUUAACUAUGAUAAGCUCAUCCUUUUUUUGGAAAAAUUUGCCAGAGGGGACCUUUACUACAGCAAAGGAGAAUGCAGAAGCAAAACACCAGCCGAUGUAGGACUGCAUCACACGCUAUGCUUGUUUACCUCUCCCAGACUGUUCAACAAAUGUCACAAAUAUUCAAAGUCACAAGGUAAAAUUAUUUUCCUCUUUAGUUUUUUAUUACAGCAACAUGUUUGGUAACAUUUUGAAGUGCACCAAAGGGACUUGUGUGUGUGUGUGUGUGUGUGUGUGUGUGUGUGUGUGUGUGUGUGUGUGUGUGUGUGUGUGUGUGUGUGUGUGUGUGUGUUCUGGCAAUGCUUACUUAUUGGGGACGUCGCUCUGUUUACAAAGUCACUUUAGGGGACCUUUGACGUUAUGGGGACAAAACAACAACAGGUCCCCUAAAGGUAAACCUUUUUAAAUAAUAGUCAGAUGCAUUCUGAAGAUGCCUAAGUGAUUUUUUGGUCCUUCAUUGAUUACUUUAACAAUUAACACCUGGCGCGCCACACAGAGGCAACGUGAGCGCAGUACAGGAAGGAGUUCUACGUUUCAGACGUCGAGACACGGAAGCAAGUCGUUUAACCUAAAAGGUAAGAACAUAUUUCUUAUAAAUGGAGAUUAUUGACUAUCAUUUGUAGAAGAUUAAUGUGUUUAUGAACAAGCUAAGCCAAAAUAUUAGCAGCGAAGCGCACCUUUUCCAACAGGUGCAUUUAAUUAAGAAUAUGAGUCUUGCUAAAAAAAAAGCUUGUGAAUCACUUUGUGUUUUUGAUGUUUUGGCAUUUGGACUGGUUUAUAGUCAAAGUAGCUCUAAUUUAAUGCUAAUUGGUUGUCUAUAAGGACUUUUAAGAAGUUAUAUGUAUAGUUAUGAUGGACAUUGGAGAUUAAGGACAUUUUAAAAACCUCACAUUGAUUUUGUUUCACACAUUUUACAUGAAAGACAUAUGUACAGUAGACCAUAUGGACUUGGACAUAAACAGAAUAACACCUGAUGUCACUGGAACAGAGGAAUACUGCUCAAGUCAGGAAACGAUUCACAAUGUAGUUGUUCGCCCUCCCAUUACAAAACAUGGAAAAAGAGUUUACAACAAAAGACAUUAUUGCUUGUAUUGCAGUAAGCCUUACGCCAAGGGAACUACACUCACAAUGCUGCUAUUAUGGAGUUAGGGAAGGGUGAACUAGUGCCAUUCAAAAGACCACCUAAAGAAGCUAAAGGAAAUUAUUUCAUGCACUGUGCACAUUGCCAAGGACUGUUUACCAGAAAGGUACUGUGGAGACACAUGCGAAGUUGCCCACUCAAACCUUCAUCAGUCACCCGAAAACCAGGAAAGAACCGUGUCCAGUCUCCCUGCAUAUAUACUGGGCCUGUGCCUUCAAGUGUAUCCAAACAACUGUGGGGAGUAAUAAGUGUCAUGAUUCCUGAUACAAUCACAGAAAUAAUAAAAAAUGACCAUGUCAUCACAGAUGUUGGGCAGCACCUGUUGAACAAAAAUGGUAUGUCAGCAAAAAAUCAACAAUGUGUCAAAGAGAAGAUGCGGGAAUUAGGAAGACUGAUUCAUAAUGCCAGGAGAGUAACUAACUACCUUGAAAAAAAUUGAGGAUUUUGUGUAUCCUAAGAACUACUUGGAGAUGGUCAAAGCUGUCAAAUGUACUUGUGGCUUUGAUAGUGACAUUAACAAAUUCUGCAUUCCAUCACUGGCAACUAAACUUGGGAAUUCCCUGGUUAAAGUCAGCAAACUUUUGAAAGCAGUUUGAUAAACAACAAUGAAGAUUUGGUCAGGAAUGCCACACUUUUCCAAGAUGUCCAUCGUGAGAAGUGGAACGAGUUGAUCUCUGCAACAGCCCUGGGGAAUAUAGCCGAAGAAAAGUGGAAUGUACCACAACUUAUGCUCUUCACUGAGGAUGUUAAAAAAAAUGCAUCAGUUUCUCAGUCAAAUGCAUGAUGAGUGCAGCAGUGCGCUAUCUGAAAAUUCUUCCACAAAGGCCUGGUCAGACCUGACAAAAGUAUGUUUGACACAGAUCAUCCUUUUUAACAGACGAAGAGAAGGAGAGGUAGCAGCCAUGCCCCUGUUGGCUUUUUUGUCAAGAGACACAACUGAUCCUCCCGAGGAUGUUGAAUGGGCUCUAUCUGAAGUGGGAAAAAACUCUGCAGACAUUUUUCAAGUAUUGUCAUUAGGGGAAAACGAGGCAGACCUGUUCCUAUUCUCUUGACUCCAAAAAUGGUGUGUGCAUUAGAACUUCUCAUCAAGUACAGGGAAACUUGUGGGGUUCUCAAAGACAACACUUGCCUGUUUGCAAGACCCACAGCGAUGACACAUUUCCGUGGUUCUGACUGCAUACGAGACUAUGCAAAAGCAUGUCAUGCAAAGUGUCCUGUUUCCCUUACAUCCACGAAACUACAAAAACAUGCUGCCACCUUUUCAACUGUGCUAAACAUGACAGACAGAGAUGGACUAGCUGGCCAACUUUCUUGGCCAUGAUAUUAGAAUCCAUCGUGAGUUCUAUAGACUUCCGGAAAAUACAUUGCAGCUGGCAAAAAUCAGCAAAGUUUUGAUGGCACUCGAGCAAGGUCGAUUAUCUGAGUUCCAUGGAAAGAACUUGGAUGAAAUCACAAUUGGUCCAAAUGGUAAGUUGUCAUCUUUGUUGUUUAUUUGGUUUGAACUCAAUUAUAAGCUUAACAUGUUAUGUGUACCACAGAAUGUGUUGUGCAAACUGAAGAGGAAGAUAUCACCAGAGAAGAAGGACACUAUCCAUGUCCUGACAAUGAGGUGGCAUUACCAACCCUGAUGAUGAACACAUCCCGCCACCCAAGAGACUGACACCCCCUUUAAAAGACAUGGAUACAUCAUCACGACAUCGUGCAGUGAGACAUUCUUCCAAUGGUAAAGCUGCCCAGAAAAGGUGACCCUGGACACAGAAAGAGGUGAAGGCUGCCGAGAAGCACAUGAAGCGAUUCAUUCCUUCUGGUAUUGUACCAGGAAAGAGUGACUGUUUAAAAUGUUUGAGGGACGAACCGGAAGCUCUCCAAAACCGGGAAUGGCAAGCAUUGAAGUUCUUUGUGUACAACCGCAUUACAGCCUACAAAACGAGAUUGCAGCUAAAAUAGUAGAUUACGAGAUAAUCAGCAAGACUGGUGAAGUAGAACUUUUUUUUUAAAAUGUUAUUUAUAUUCAAUGAUGUUCAAAAUAAAAAGUAAAAAUGAAAGUUUAAAUGAGUUUUCUUGAAAAGUGAAACAUGCGUUAUCCUGGCAUUAAUAGUACUAUAAUUCUGUAUGGUAUCCAUCCUUAGUUAAAACUAAUAUAUUUUUUCCCUUGUCUCCACAAGUGAUGAUGAAAAACUUGGUCCCCAUUCCAAAUGAUAACCAGUGUGUGUGUGUGUGUGUGUGUGUGUGUGUGUGUGUGUGUGUGUGUGUGUGUGUGUGUGUGUGUGUG